AGUGAACGCUGGCGGUAGGCCUAACACAUGCAAGUCGAACGGCAGCACAGUAAGAGCUUGCUCUUACGGGUGGCGAGUGGCGGACGGGUGAGGAAUACAUCGGAAUCUACUUUUUCGUGGGGGAUAACGUAGGGAAACUUACGCUAAUACCGCAUACGACCUACGGGUGAAAGCAGGGGAUCUUCGGACCUUGCGCGAUUGAAUGAGCCGAUGUCGGAUUAGCUAGUUGGCGGGGUAAAGGCCCACCAAGGCGACGAUCCGUAGCUGGUCUGAGAGGAUGAUCAGCCACACUGGAACUGAGACACGGUCCAGACUCCUACGGGAGGCAGCAGUGGGGAAUAUUAGGCAAUGGGCGCAAGCCUGAUCCAGCCAUACCGCGUGGGUGAAGAAGGCCUUCGGGUUGUAAAGCCCUUUUGUUGGGAAAGAAAAGCAGCAGGUUAAUACCCCGCUGUUCUGACGGUACCCAAAGAAUAAGCACCGGCUAACUUCGUG
rnacentral:rRNA from 1 species